rnacentral:misc_RNA from 1 species
AAGGAGCUUUUGCGGUUACUUUAUAACUUUAAAGUGAUACCGCCAUAGUGCACUGCGAUUGUGGUGUUGUUAUCACGGUCUGUUUGGGCACAAGCUCACGGGAGUGGAACAUUGAAUCUGUUCACCGGUUUGUUUACCGGUCUGGGUGCUUAUGCACUUGUGUGCACUAUUGGGUUUUGAGAGGCCAGGCUUUUACGGGUGGGCAGUGUCCGGCCGUAUUUUGAGAACUGCACAGUGGACGCGAGCAUCUUUCUAGACUUAGUCUAGAGUCUGCGCUUAUGCGCAGUAUUUGU